ensembl:lncRNA
GGGGGGGUGGUGUUGGGUGUUGUGUUAAAGGGGGAGGGGGCGAUGGUUUGGAGGGGUGGGAGGACGAGAGGUUAGGGGAGGAGGGCGAGGGGAGUUUAAUCCAAAGUCAGACCAUGUCUGGCUGGCUAGGACCUGCUGGGGACGGUGGCAAGCUCGACAUUCAGCCUCUCGGAUUCUGACAGAACAAGUGUUGCAUGAGAUGUGAAGGAUGGUGCUGGUCCGUCUCAAGACCCCUGGAGCAGGUGUUCCUCAUCCAACCAGCCUUUGGCUGCAGCGGAGCGUGUUUGCACGGGUGUAUGUUUGUGUGUGCGCACGUGGAUGUGUGUGUGUGUGCGUGCGUGUGUGUGUAUGUGUGUGUGAAGCCCCCUCCGAUCCCCUUGGUGGUCCUGGGAGACAAAGCCAGCCCUGGACCAGACCCAAGCUCUAACAUGUACCUGAGAGGCUGAGGAGAUGUUGCUAAUGAUAAUGGAUGCCACCCUAUUAACCAUGAAACUGCUAAUGGGACAGAACAUGCCCUGAUUGUUUGGGGAACGAGGAGUGGGGUCUCUACCAAAAAUAGGCCACGGUAAAAUAUGAAACGCCCUGGUGGUCGAAAAUAUGUCCCCGUUUCCCGCUUGUUACAAGUGAUUUAAUUCUGUUUUCCAGACAAUUUGUUCUAGUGGACUGUGGACAAUUGGCUUAUCGGUUGUGAAGGACGUUGUGAUCCUGAACCCGUAACAUCUGCCCUUUUUUUGGUAUCCAGUGUGUUUCCAUAGCAAAGUUAACUAUAAAAACUGAAAGAGAUAUUAUGGAUGAACAAUCUCUAAAUUUCAGUGACAAAACCUUCAGUGGGGUUAGCUGAGGUUGUGACUGAUCCCUGGCCAGUAGCACUGCCCGUAGUCACACCCUACAUCCCUUACAAAGUCCACUGUUUCAUAACAACCAGAGCCUGAUGCGAUUUCCUCAAAACUAGAGUACCGUGUAGAGAAAAAGUCAUUUGCCACGCUGCCUCUCUUUUCCUGAAAACUCUUUGAAUUCUCGGGCUAACCUUCCAGUCCAUUACAGCUCAUUGCGAGAUCCGGAGAGGAGGGGAGAAUAACUGUAUCGCCUGAUGACAGGUCAUCCAUCCCCUGCGGUCUCAGGACGCUUCCUACCGGAGAGCAGCGGCGACGAGGAGCAGAGCAGACCAAAGAUUGGUGAGGACAAGGAUAGCAUGGCAACAAUGCAAGGUGUACGGAGAGGAGAUAAUAACACUAACAAGCGUGGCUUAGGUGGGGAGGUCGGGAAACUCCUGGGACUCUGCCUCGGUGACAACCAAUGUUCCCGAAAAGCAGCAGGAAGACUGGCUCGCCGGAAACUUUUCCCCCCUAAUAGACACAAAUGGCUUUACUCUCCCCUUUAUGAGCCAUUUUGUCUCGGCUUCCCAGGAAGCGCAGGUCCUCUGUGACAGCUUCUAUUGGAAUCUGAAGGACCGCUCAGGUCAGGCGACAGGGAGCGAAAAGAUGCAGUAUACCAUCUCCAUAUAGGAGAACAGAUUCUCUCUGCAGAGGGACGUGUGGUAUUCCCACAGUAAUGCUUUCUGAAAUAGAUGUAUGGUGUGCUGUAUGCCGCUGAUGGAGGGAUGUAAAACUGGAGGUGGAGAAGUGGUGAUUUAAUUUAUUUUUUUAUUUAUUUUUUUAGAUGGGGAGAGAGGUUGAAUAAGAAAUUGUUUGGAAGGGAGUACCAAGUAAAGUCUUCUGGGAUACCUAGGACUUCUGGUCAUUACUGUGCCACCGCGAGGAAAGAGUGAGGAGAGGACAUGGGCAUUCUGUAGUUAACAAAAUGCAACCUCAGGGACAAAGCUGGCAGUCACACCAGUGACUCUUCGAAGAGUUAAAACCUUUCUCUUGUUUGCUCCUGACAAGAGCCGUCUGAAGAACUCUCAUCUACCGUCAUGACAUUUGUAGGGUCCCUGGAGGGGGCCCCAUGUCAUACCUGGUUUAGAGUAUUAGCUUGGACCCACUGGUGCAGAGGCUAAUUAUUCAUUUCUCCCGCCGUCCCAUCUGUUUAGCCGGGCAGGGCUGAGGCGUCAGAGAGAGGGGGACCGUAGCGAGGCCGGGAGAGCGGGCACGGGCGGGUACCCGGCAGGACUGUCGGAGCAGGAGGGGGUGAAAGCACCGGGCACUGUGGGGAGCAUGCUGACUCCUCGCUCCUCCGGUCCGGCUCCUCUGACACUGUCUGCUGACUCCUCGCUCCUCCGGUCCAGCUCCUCUGACACGAUAUGCUGGCUCUUCGCUCCUCCGGUCCAGCUCCUCAGACACUGUCCGCUGGCGACACCCCAAAGCAAGCCCCGUGCUGAACCCCAAAUUGUCAGGCGCCAGAAACAAUGUGUUGCCCCUGGGUCUCUGAACUCCUCUUGUUAUCUUCUCUGAUGUAUUGUAUAUCCCUUUACUACACAGAGAGAGAGAGAGAGAGAGAGAAUGAGACAGAUUGGUAGAUAGGAAGAAAAGGAGAGAAUGAAAGACAAAGGGAGAGAAAAAGAAAAAUGAGAGAAGAAAUGAAAGAGAGAAUGGAGAAAAAGAGAUGAAUUAGAAUUUAAGAGAAGACAACAGAAGACCCGGUAAGAAGCAACCGCGGCCUCUUCUAACGGGCAAGGCCACAUGUCAGGCAAACUAACAGUGGUAAACAAUCAGGGCUUACCGUGUGGAAAAUGAACCAACAGUUAUCUACGCUACUAUUGGACUGUGCAGUCAUGGCCUCCUGGCUCGCUAAUAUGAAUAAAUUACAGAACUUGGCAAAACCUGUCCCAUCUAUUUUUAUUGACCCUUGAAGGCGCCAAAAUGAAGGCUCACAAUCUGUGUGUAAACAUUAAAGACAGGUCAUGACAUGGACAUUAACUUUUAAUUUAUUUAACGUUUUGUGAUGUUGCAAUA